ensembl:lncRNA
AGAGGGAGAGGGUUUGCAGGGGGAGGGGAAGAGACUCCCCCCUUUUCGGCGCAGCUCCCCUCCUUUUCCAAACUUGUGGGCAAUGCUGCCCCCAGCAAAGCAAUCCAGAGCCCCAAAGGAAGGCUUCCUCCCGCCCCCACCCCACCCCCAUCGCCCUCUUCCAGUCUUACCUGUCCGAAAAAACGCAUCCACGUCCGAGUCGGCGGCUCCUCCUUCCUCCGCUACCCCCUCCGGGGGGUUCAUGACUGGGGAGGGGGCUCUGCGGGCAGCCCCCGGGAAGUGAAACGGAGGGCCGGCGUCUCGUCUCCUCCUUGGGAGCGAGGGCGAGGGCGAGCCCGUUCCCUCCGCGGGGCUGCUCGCCUCCUCUCUGCCUCGGGGACAGGGGUCCAAGCUGCCUCAGCCUCCGGUUCUUCUCCAGCAGCAGCAGCAGCAGCAGCAGCAGCAGCUGGUCCUCCUUCUCUCCCGUCUGCCUGUCUCUAUUGUUCAGCCCUGCUCAGCUCUCUCCUCUUUAUUUUUCCUCCUCCUCCUCCCUCCCUCCCCUCCCUCUCUCUCCCUCUCACUCUCUCUCUACCUCCCUCCCUCGCCUGCUCGCUCUUUAGCUCCCUCCCUCCUACUCUGGCUGGCUCCCUUCUCCCUCCUCCUACUCCUACUCCUCUCUUCUCCCUCCUCCCUCUUCCUCCUCCUCCUCCUAUUCCUCCUCCUCCUGCUCCUCCUCCGGCUCCUGAUCUUGCUCCCUCAACUCGGUGCCAACAAUGCCCCGGGCUGCUGGCUGCAGGCUGCGCCCGCCGGUGCAGGGGGUCCGGACCUGCCCUAGCCGGGUUCCCUCUCGACUCCGGGAAAUGCUUGCUCCUCUGUGCCCCUGCCUGCCCAGGGUCCAGCCGGCUGCCUCACCGGGAGGAGCUGCCGGAGGAACGAGACAAGAGCACAGCCCCGAGCUAUUGUUUGUGGCUGUGCUAGGCCAGCUUCCUGAGCCCCGCAGGAAAAGCUCUAGUGAAGGAAGCAUCCGAGAGAAGGGGGGCGGGGCACGGGCGAGGGGAGCCAGGGGGAGCUGGGGCCUGGGGUGCGCCAGAGUCUGGAUGGGGUGGAUUGGGGUGGGGAGGGCUGUCUUCUCAGGCGGGUAAAGGGAAUGUGUUCCUUCUUUUUUUCCUACUGCUCCUCGCUCUGGCUCAGACCCCCAAAAAGCACAGAGGGUAGCUUGCCCUCUUUUCCCGGGGUGUCCCUGAGCUUUUCGCCUUCCCUUUAGAGAAAGGACUGACCCGGAGCAAGCUUAUCUGAACUGGCUUCCCUUAUUCCUCCCCGUUACGUUCCCUUAUCCUUUUCCUGACUCUGGCAUUGACUUUCUAACAUCUAUUUACUCUACAGUCUCCUUUAUACAAUCUCCUUCCCCUACCUCUUCCUCCCUGGUCUCCUUUUCCUCUUCCUCCUUCCUCUCUUCUCCUCCUCACCCUUUCCUUACUCUCCUCCUCUCUGCAUGAGAUUUUCGACAUCCUUCCCCUUCUCUUAGUAUUCUCCCUCUUUCUUGCUUUCCUGGUCUCUCACUCUCAGUCUCUCUCACUUUCUUUUUUUAGUUCUCCUUUAAUGUGGAUACUUCCACCAUGCACUUCUGACCCCUCUCUUUACCUCUGUCCUUUCCCCUCUUUCUGUCUUCUCUUGUCUCUCUGUGUAUGUCUCUCUUCUCUCUUCCAAACUCUCUUCCCCUUCUCCUCCAGCUCUAAGAUGUUUGGCCUUAUCCUGAAUCUCUGUAGGUGGAUAGUUUCUAUCUUGGACAGCUGUCAAAACUCCCAAAUCUCUGGUGGGCUUUUAUGGUUUAUUCCUCUUCCCUGGCGUAGAUGAGAUCAAGUUAGGCAGGAGAAAGGAGAUGUUCUCUCAAGCUGAAUGUGAAUUAAAGUAGGAGAGAGGGACUUGGUGGAGGAGUAAGGGGGUGGGGUGGGAGUGAAAGCAGAUGCUGGCAGGGUAAUUAAUGCAGUGAUUGUACUGUGCCAAUUGGUUUUUAAACAAUAAUUAAACAAUAAUUAGCCAGUGCUCUGUUUACAGUUUAAGAGGCUAUGGGAGCCUAGAGAACAAAGGGUAUCCCUACCUGAGUACUUAGAGGAAACACCUACCUCUAUUUCACCCUACCUAUUAGAUAGAUGCUGACCCCAUUUUGCAUGCUCUCUUACUCACUCUUGGCUGAAAAGUAAUGUUCCAUGAUCAUAAAUGUAACAGAAGACCAUCCUUGGGGCCUAUUGGGUUCUAGUCCUCCUGGUUUCCACCUCCCCCAGGGAACCAAGAAAUCUGCAACCUUCCUUGCCACUCUCCCCAAGAUAUCCAAAUGUCUCUAUUUAUAUAAGUUCUAGAGCUCUGUAGGAAGAAAUGUCCUGAAAUAAGAGAGGAAAUAUACUUCAGUGGGAAAAGUCAAGAGAUCAGUGUUCUAGUCUCAACAUUGACACCUAAUAACCAUCAGUGACAGACCAUGUAACAUUUCUCAACUUCAGGCUUCACUUCUGUAAAAUGGGAAUAAAGUUUGCACUACCUAACUCA